GUUCUGAUGCAGGCUGAACUCUUUGGCUUUGAGGCGCAGGCUGGCGAUGCUGUUGGCCAUGUUCACCCCUUGGGUGGGCGUCGCGGUCCCACUGGAGCUGUAGGAUGGCACAGUGCUGUAUGGGGAGGAGCUGCUCCACGAGAGGUACUCGGGGCUGAGCGCGGUGGGCCGUGGUGCCAUGGGCUGCUCGAUGGCAGCCUCCUGGCUGUAGGACUUGAGGAGCGACGCCGAUCUGUUGGCCAACAUCGCCCUCUCGUUACGGCGGAACUUGGCCCUCCGGUUCUGAAACCAAACCUGGACUCUGGCCUCGCUGAGGUUCACCCUCCUGGCCAGCUCCUCCCGCACGAAGGCGUCGGGGUAAUGUGUCCGCUCAAAGACCCUCUCCAGAGCCUGCAGUUGGCUGCUGUUGAAUGUGGUGCGGUUCCUCCUCUGCUUCUUCUUCCUCUUGGCCACCCCACGGCUCGGGCUCAGGCUCUCACCGUCCUGGGGUGCCGCCUCGCUGCCGCUGCUGCCUCCCGACGGCUCCGGCAUGGCCUUACCGCCGGCGGAGGGUGGGGGGCCGGCGGGGGGGGCCCCGUUCAUCCCGGCCGCCACCUCCUCCAGGUCGAGGAGAUGGCUCACGCUGAAGUUUUUCCGGCUCUGAGGGUUUUCGGGCGGCUCCGGACCGCGCACGGUGCUGGGGGCGAACGGUUUGUCCAUGGCGAAGGCUGGCGGCGAGUCCAUGGCUCCCACCCCCACCGGCCCGCAGCCCACCCCGAGGUGCCGGGCCGUUCCCCGGCCCCUUUCCCUUCUCCAACCCCCACCAAAUAAUAAUAAAAUAAUAAUAAUAAUAAUUAAAAAAAAAAGAAAAAUCCCGGCUGCCCUGCGAGUCCGGCUCCCUCCCCAGCCCCUGUUCCGCCUUGUGCUGACGUCUGGGGAAAA
rnacentral:lncRNA from 1 species